rnacentral:rRNA from 1 species
CGUGUAGGCGGUGCGGUAAGUCGGGCGUGAAAUCCCCGGGCUCAACCCGGGGCGGUCGUUCGAAACUGCCGUGCUAGAGUGCAGGAGAGGGAAGUGGAAUUCCCGGUGUAACGGUGAAAUGCGUAGAUAUCGGGAGGAACACCUGCGGCGAAGGCGGCUUCCUGGACUGCAACUGACGCUGAGGCGCGAAAGCGUGGGGAGCAAACG